AGCGGCGGACGGGUGAGUAACGCGUGGGUAACCUGCCCUGUACACACGGAUAACAUACCGAAAGGUAUGCUAAUACGAGAUAAUAUGCUUUUAUCGCAUGGUAGAAGUAUCAAAGCUCCGGCGGUACAGGAUGGACCCGCGUCUGAUUAGCUAGUUGGUAAGGUAACGGCUUACCAAGGCGACGAUCAGUAGCCGACCUGAGAGGGUGAUCGGCCACAUUGGAACUGAGACACGGUCCAAACUCCUACGGGAGGCAGCAGUGGGGAAUAUUGCACAAUGGGCGAAAGCCUGAUGCAGCAACGCCGCGUGAGCGAUGAAGGCCUUCGGGUCGUAAAGCUCUGUCCUCAAGGAAGAUAAUGACGGUACUUGAGGAGGAAGCCCCGGCUAACUACGUGCCAGCAGCCGCGGUAAUACGUAGGGGGCUAGCGUUAUCCGGAAUUACUGGGCGUAAUGGGUGCGUAGGUGGUUUCUUAAGUCAGAGGUGAAAGGCUACGGCUCAACCGUAGUAAGCCUUUGAAACUGGGGAACUUGAGUGCAGGAGAGGAGAGUGGAAUUCCUAGUGUAGCGGUGAAAUGCGUAGAUAUUAGGAGGAACACCAGUUGCGAAGGCGGCUCUCUGGACUGUAACUGACACUGAGGCACGAAAGCGUGGGGAGCGAACAGGAUUAGAUACCCUGGUAGUCCACGCCGUAAACGAUGAGUACUAGCUGU
rnacentral:rRNA from 1 species